GUUCCUGACCGGAAAUGCUCACCUGCUGUAGUGCGAGAGGUAAAAGUCUCAUCCUCGUCGAAAUGAGUGUCGCCCCCAAGGCCCGCGGAAGGUGCAAAAGCGUGAGCCAGGGUGCCCUCGGGUCCGUCAAAUGGGAGAUCAUGAUGUCGGCCACACCGGAGUUGAUGCGUGUGAAUUGCAAAGGAGUGACCUUGGCCCAGACUUCAAGGGCGUCCUUUAGGACCCGGUCCACUUCGGACGGAGACAAGUCAGGGGGAUGCAGUGAACCGCCAUCGCAAGGCAGAAGAAGAUGGUCGCUCCGUAAAGCAUCAUGUUAAGCUGGAAGCUGCUGCUGCUUGGUGUCGUGGCUGUGAGACCCUCCGCUCUUAUACUCUAUGACCCUCAAGUGUUGAGCAACCUUUGCCUGAGUCACUGGGAUUCUACGCAUCCAUGAUUAAGUGAGAGGCGGGCACUUCUCUAUAAUGAUGCAUUACAUAAAUAACCUGGCCUUUUCAAGUGUGAAUCAUACUAUUAGAUUGAUGUGCUUCCGUUUUCAUUAGUGCACAUCACUGGCCAGUUACUUCUUGCCUAGUUAUUCAUGUGUUUUAAUAUUCACAUUAUCUUUACAUUGUGGUAGCUACUUACAUUAUGCUGUGUUUAUUUGUUCAUUGUUAUUAUUGUUUAUUGCCGUGUUUAAACAGCUUAAUCCGUGUUUUGUGUUUAAAUCGUGUUCAUCGGUGGCCAGAAGGAUGUGCAGAUGUAAUAUUUUCAUCGUAUAUUGUGACUGUUUAUUGUGUAUGUCGCAAUAAACUCUGGAAUCUUGAAGUGGGUAUUGCUUACAGGAAAUUCAGAAAUGUGGAAGUAGGACUUCAAGAAGAAUUUAUGAAGGUUUUUAUUAUUGAUAUAAAUGUGAAUCUCAAUACACAUUUUUGUAAAAUUAGUCAAUGAAAUAAAGAAAAGCUAAGUUUAAAUGUUUAAA